rnacentral:rRNA from 20 species
GGGUUGUGAGGUUAAGCGACUAAGCGUACACGGUGGAUGCCCUGGCAGUCAGAGGCGAUGAAGGGCGUGCUAAUCUGCGAUAAGCGCCGGUAAGGUGAUAUGAACCGUUAUAACCGGCGAUACCCGAAUGGGGAAACCCAGUGUGACUCGUCACACUAUCAUUAACUGAAUCCAUAGGUUAAUGAGGCGAACCGGGGGAACUGAAACAUCUAAGUACCCCGAGGAAAAGAAAUCAACCGAGAUUCCCCCAGUAGCGGCGAGCGAACGGGGAGGAGCCCAGAGCCUGAAUCAGCAUGUGUGUUAGUGGAAGCGUCUGGAAAGGCGCGCGAUACAGGGUGACAGCCCCGUACACAAAAGCGCAUGUGCUGUGAGCUCGAUGAGUAGGGCGGGACACGUGGUAUCCUGUCUGAAUAUGGGGGGACCAUCCUCCAAGGCUAAAUACUCCUGACUGACCGAUAGUGAACCAGUACCGUGAGGGAAAGGCGAAAAGAACCCCGGCGAGGGGAGUGAAAAAGAACCUGAAACCGUGUACGUACAAGCAGUGGGAGCACAGGUUUACCUGUGUGACUGCGUACCUUUUGUAUAAUGGGUCAGCGACUUAUAUUCUGUAGCAAGGUUAACCGAAUAGGGGAGCCGGAGGGAAACCGAGUCUUAACCGGGCGUUAAGUUGCAGGGUAUAGACCCGAAACCCGGUGAUCUAGCCAUGGGCAGGUUGAAGGUUGGGUAACACUAACUGGAGGACCGAACCGACUAAUGUUGAAAAAUUAGCGGAUGACCUGUGGCUGGGGGUGAAAGGCCAAUCAAACCGGGAGAUAGCUGGUUCUCCCCGAAAGCUAUUUAGGUAGCGCCUCGUGAAUUCAUCUCCGGGGGUAGAGCACUGUUUCGGCUAGGGGGCCAUCCCGGCUUACCAACCCGAUGCAAACUGCGAAUACCGGAGAAUGUUAUCACGGGAGACACACGGCGGGUGCUAACGUCCGUCGUGAAGAGGGAAACAACCCAGACCGCCAGCUAAGGUCCCAAAGUCAUGGUUAAGUGGGAAACGAUGUGGGAAGGCCCAGACAGCCAGGAUGUUGGCUUAGAAGCAGCCAUCAUUUAAAGAAAGCGUAAUAGCUCACUGGUCGAGUCGGCCUGCGCGGAAGAUGUAACGGGGCUAAACCAUGCACCGAAGCUGCGGCAGCGAACGUAUCACUUAAAGCGAUUCAGCGGGUUACGAUUGACGGAGCGAAGCGACGUCAAAGCGUAUACAAAGUCGAGUCGGUUUAAGGAUACGUUCGUUGGGUAGGGGAGCGUUCUGUAAGCCUGUGAAGGUGGCCUGUGAGGGUUGCUGGAGGUAUCAGAAGUGCGAAUGCUGACAUAAGUAACGAUAAAGCGGGUGAAAAGCCCGCUCGCCGGAAGACCAAGGGUUCCUGUCCAACGUUAAUCGGGGCAGGGUGAGUCGACCCCUAAGGCGAGGCCGAAAGGCGUAGUCGAUGGGAAACGGGUUAAUAUUCCCGUACUUGGUGUUACUGCGAAGGGGGGACGGAGAAGGCUAUGUUGGCCGGGCGACGGUUGUCCCGGUUUAAGCGUGUAGGUGUGUGUUCCAGGUAAAUCCGGUUCACUUUAACACUGAGGCGUGACGACGAGGCACUACGGUGCUGAAGCAACAAAUGCCCUGCUUCCAGGAAAAGCCUCUAAGCAUCAGGUAACAUCAAAUCGUACCCCAAACCGACACAGGUGGUCAGGUAGAGAAUACCAAGGCGCUUGAGAGAACUCGGGUGAAGGAACUAGGCAAAAUGGUGCCGUAACUUCGGGAGAAGGCACGCUGACACGUAGGUGAAGUGAUUUACUCAUGGAGCUGAAGUCAGUCGAAGAUACCAGCUGGCUGCAACUGUUUAUUAAAAACACAGCACUGUGCAAACACGAAAGUGGACGUAUACGGUGUGACGCCUGCCCGGUGCCGGAAGGUUAAUUGAUGGGGUCAGCGCAAGCGAAGCUCCUGAUCGAAGCCCCGGUAAACGGCGGCCGUAACUAUAACGGUCCUAAGGUAGCGAAAUUCCUUGUCGGGUAAGUUCCGACCUGCACGAAUGGCGUAAUGAUGGCCAGGCUGUCUCCACCCGAGACUCAGUGAAAUUGAACUCGCUGUGAAGAUGCAGUGUACCCGCGGCAAGACGGAAAGACCCCGUGAACCUUUACUAUAGCUUGACACUGAACAUUGAGCCUUGAUGUGUAGGAUAGGUGGGAGGCUUUGAAGUGUGGACGCCAGUCUGCAUGGAGCCGACCUUGAAAUACCACCCUUUAAUGUUUGAUGUUCUAACGUGGACCCGUAAUCCGGGUUGCGGACAGUGUCUGGUGGGUAGUUUGACUGGGGCGGUCUCCUCCUAAAGAGUAACGGAGGAGCACGAAGGUUGGCUAAUCCUGGUCGGACAUCAGGAGGUUAGUGCAAUGGCAUAAGCCAGCUUGACUGCGAGCGUGACGGCGCGAGCAGGUGCGAAAGCAGGUCAUAGUGAUCCGGUGGUUCUGAAUGGAAGGGCCAUCGCUCAACGGAUAAAAGGUACUCCGGGGAUAACAGGCUGAUACCGCCCAAGAGUUCAUAUCGACGGCGGUGUUUGGCACCUCGAUGUCGGCUCAUCACAUCCUGGGGCUGAAGUAGGUCCCAAGGGUAUGGCUGUUCGCCAUUUAAAGUGGUACGCGAGCUGGGUUUAGAACGUCGUGAGACAGUUCGGUCCCUAUCUGCCGUGGGCGCUGGAGAACUGAGGGGGGCUGCUCCUAGUACGAGAGGACCGGAGUGGACGCAUCACUGGUGUUCGGGUUGUCAUGCCAAUGGCACUGCCCGGUAGCUAAAUGCGGAAGAGAUAAGUGCUGAAAGCAUCUAAGCACGAAACUUGCCCCGAGAUGAGUUCUCCCUGAGACUUAGAGUCUCCUGAAGGAACGUUGAAGACGACGACGUUGAUAGGCCGGGUGUGUAAGCGCAGCGAUGCGUUGAGCUAACCGGUACUAAUGAACCGUGAGGCUUAACCUUACAACGCCGAAG